UCCCUACGGGGGGCAGCAGUGGGGAAUAUUGCACAAUGGGGGAAACCCUGAUGCAGCGACGCCGCGUGGGUGAAGGAGUAUUUCGGUAUGUAAAGCCCUAUCCGCAGGGAAGAUAAUGACGGUACCUGACUAAGAAGCCCCGGCUAACUACGUGCCAGCAGCCGCGGUAAUACGUAGGGGGCAAGCGUUAUCCGGAUUUAUUGGGUUUAAAGGGUGCGCAGGCGGAAGAUCAAGUCAGCGGUAAAAUUGAGAGGCUCAACCUCUUCGAGCCGUUGAAACUGGUUUUCUUGAGUGAGCGAGAAGUA
rnacentral:rRNA from 1 species